GACGAACGCUGGCGGCGUGCCUAAUACAUGCAAGUCGAGCGGACCUCUUCGGAGGUCAGCGGCGGACGGGUGAGUAACACGUGGGCAACCUGCCUGUAAGACUGGGAUAACACCGGGAAACCGGUGCUAAUACCGGAUAAUCCUUUUCCUCACAUGCGGGGAAGCUGAAAGACGGUUUCGGCUGUCACUUACAGAUGGGCCCGCGGCGCAUUAGCUAGUUGGUGGGGUAACGGCCCACCAAGGCGACGAUGCGUAGCCGACCUGAGAGGGUGAUCGGCCACACUGGGACUGAGACACGGCCCAGACUCCUACGGGAGGCAGCAGUAGGGAAUCUUCCGCAAUGGACGAAAGUCUGACGGAGCAACGCCGCGUGAGCGAAGAAGGCCUUCGGGUCGUAAAGCUCUGUUGUCAGGGAAGAACACGUACCGGAGUAACUGCCGGCACCUUGACGGUACCUGACCAGAAAGCCACGGCUAACUACGUGCCAGCCGCCGCAGUAAAAC
rnacentral:rRNA from 1 species